GGGCGUGCGGUCUAGUGGUUUUGACUCUUGACUUCGAAUCAAGCAAUCGUCGGUUCGAUCCCGGCCAUGCUCU
rnacentral:tRNA from 1 species